rnacentral:rRNA from 1 species
UACGAGGGAUCCUAGCGUUGUUCGGAAUCAUUGGGCGUAAAGGGUGUGUAGGCGGCCAUGUAAGUCAGUUGUGAAAGCCCCGGGCUCAACCCGGGAAGUGCUUCUGAUACUGCAUGGCUUGAGUAUUGGAGAGGUGAGUGGAAUUCCAGGUGUAGUGGUGAAAUACGUAGAUAUCUGGAGGAACACCGGCGGCGAAGGCGGCUCACUGGCCAUAUACUGACGCUGAAACACGAAAGCGUGGGGUCAAACAGG